UACGGGGGGAGCAAGCGUUGUUCGGAAUUACUGGGCGUAAAGGGCGCGUAGGCGGGCUGGCAAGUCGGUCGUGAAAUCCUUCGGCUCAACCGAAGAACGUCGAUCGAUACUGCUGUUCUUGAGGGUUGCAGAGGAGACUGGAAUUCCCGGUGUAGCGGUGAAAUGUGUAGAGAUCGGGAGGAACACCGGUGGCGAAGGCGGGUCUCUGGGCAAUUCCUGACGCUGAGGCGCGAAAGCGUGGGGAGCGAACAGG
rnacentral:rRNA from 1 species